rnacentral:lncRNA from 1 species
CUUGUUUGCAAAAAAUAAACUUUUUCCUCCUCCACAAAAGCGUGCAGCAUGCGUUGUUGAACCGGAAAAAAUGAUGAAGGUUUAGGAAGCACAGGUGUCAGGUGGGAGAGGUUGUCACGGGGUCAUGGUUCUUUUUCUGGCUGGUUUCCGGUUGAAUAAUGCAGCGAGUGGACUGAUAUCUAAAUUUAUGACGGUGAGGUAUUUAAUGUAAUAAAAACAUACUCGCGCUGAUUCAAAUUAUCAAAAACAUAUACGUAGCCAGCUCAAAGUGACAUUUUUUUAGCAUUUAUAUUUCAAAAUCAUAUUGAGAAAAUUUAACAAGUUGAGACAACUCGCCUAGAUGGGUAAUAAUAUUCAUGAAAACAAUUGAAAAAAAACAUGUCUACAAAGUCUACUAUGAGAACAGACAAACUGAUGCAUCUAGGGAAGUUUUAAGGCAUGACCGAACCUAUAUGUAUAAAAGUUAUAUUAGGAAUAGACAGGUGUAAAGAAAGAAAUUACAAACAUACCCACUGAGAGGCCCAUGACAUAAUGAAAUUGUGUGUAACCCGUCUGCGAAAUUAGAUAUAGAAUGAUUUUAUGACAAUGUGGACGGUAUUUAAUUCAUCGUUUCGAUCACUGAAUCACAAUGACUUCACACAAUUUAAGUAUGUCAUGGGCCUCUCAGUGGGGAUGUACGUAAUUUCUUUCUUU